CUCUUCCCCUCUCUCCACAGUGCAGUGCCCAUCCAGAGGUGUCUAGACCUGGGGGCUGACAUUGUAGUCACAGGGAGAUGUGUGGACAGUGCUGUCGCCCUAGGACCUCUUAUGCACUCUUUUGGGUGGAAGCAAAACAACUAUGACCUGUUGGCAGCUGGGAGUCUUGCAGGCCACCUCAUAGAGUGUGGUGCCCAGGCAACAGGCGGCAUAUUCACGGACUGGCACACAGUACCCGACUGGGAUAACAUGGGAUUCCCAGUGGUGGAGUGUUCAGCUGAUGGUUUCCUUCAUUCUCUCCAAGCCG